GACGAACGCUGGCGGCGUGCUUAACACAUGCAAGUCGAGCGGUAAGGCCCUUUCGGGGGUACACGAGCGGCGAACGGGUGAGUAACACGUGGGUGACCUGCCCUCAGCUCUGGGAUAAGCCCGGGAAACUGGGUCUAAUACCGGAUAUGACUCCAUGACGCAUGUUGUGGGGUGGAAAGCCUUGUGCGGCUGAGGAUGGGCCCGCGGCCUAUCAGCUUGUUGGUGGGGUGAUGGCCACCAAGGCGACGACGGUAGCCGGCCUGAGAGGGCGACCGGCCACACUGGGACUGAGAUACGGCCCAGACUCCUACGGGAGGCAGCAGUGGGGAAUCUUGCGCAAUGGGCGAAAGCCUGACGCAGCGACGCCGCGUGAGGGAUGACGGCCU
rnacentral:rRNA from 1 species